CCUGUCCAUUCAUACAUCACUUGUAUCACAUUCAUUGAGCAUAGAACAAGAUGUAGUCACAACUUUCUAUUAUAUGAGAGUUCUUAGAAGGUCGAGUUUCUAUCCCUCAUACUGCUUACUUUACUUCAAAACUCCUCUGUUUCAGCUAUGUAUUGAUAUCCAUAUCCAUGUUACAUCAUAACUACUUGAACAUAAUAUAUACAUAUAUAUAAUAAAUGAAUACAAUAUUUACAAAUGUUGAUCCAAUAAACAAUAAAGCAAUCAGAAAUAUCUACCUGCUCUGGUACAGUCGUAUCUUUGUAGAUAACAAAAUCAAGAUGAUAACUUUCUAAAUAAUAAUAACUGUGAAUCACUAUAAUACUCCUACAGACACAUAUAGCAUAGUAUUUUCAUUCUCAAUACCUGAUAUUACUUAAGUACUAAUACAUGUAUUACUAUAAUAUCCUGUCCAAUUAUAUUUCCAUGAAUCAUAUGGUUUAUAGCAACCUUAAAAUCUUUAGGUCCUUUGUAUUCAUGAAUUACAUUCCUAUACCAUUAAUACCAUCUAGUGAUGAUUGUAUCAGUACUUUACAAUCAUAGUAUUUAAUUUGUAUAUUCAGUAGGCUCUCACUACCUGAAAUAUACCAACACUACUUAUAAGUCUCAUUCAAAUGAUGUGUUAUCAACCAUGACGUUC